rnacentral:rRNA from 1 species
AGAGUUUGAUCAUGGCUCAGAUUGAACGCUGGCGGAAUGCUUUACACAUGCAAGUCGAACGGCAGCACGGGGGCAACCCUGGUGGCGAGUGGCGCACGGGUGAGUAAUACAUCGGAACGUAUCCUAGAGUGGGGGAUAGCCCGGCGAAAGCCGGAUUAAUACCGCAUACGCUCGUAAGAGGAAAGUGGGGGAUCGUAAGACCUCACGCCCUAGGAGCGGCCGAUGCCGGAUUAGCUUGUUGGUGAGGUAAAAGCUCACCAAGGCGACGAUCCGUAGCUGGUCUGAGAGGACGACCAGCCACACUGGGACUGAGACACGGCCCAGACUCCUACGGGAGGCAGCAGUGGGGAAUUUUGGACAAUGGGGGAAACCCUGAUCCAGCCAUUCCGCGUGAGUGAAGAAGGCCUUCGGGUUGUAAAGCUCUUUCGGCAGGAACGAAACGGUUUGGGCUAAUACCCCAGACUACUGACGG